rnacentral:rRNA from 2 species
CUUCGGGGUGGAUUAGUGGCGAACGGGUGAGUAACACGUGGGCAAUCUGCCCUUCACUCUGGGACAAGCCCUGGAAACGGGGUCUAAUACCGGAUAACACUCUGUCCCGCAUGGGACGGGGUUGAAAGCUCCGGCGGUGAAGGAUGAGCCCGCGGCCUAUCAGCUUGUUGGUGGGGUAAUGGCCUACCAAGGCGACGACGGGUAGCCGGCCUGAGAGGGCGACCGGCCACACUGGGACUGAGACACGGCCCAGACUCCUACGGGAGGCAGCAGUGGGGAAUAUUGCACAAUGGGCGAAAGCCUGAUGCAGCGACGCCGCGUGAGGGAUGACGGCCUUCGGGUUGUAAACCUCUUUCAGCAGGGAAGAAGCGAAAGUGACGGUACCUGCAGAAGAAGCGCCGGCUAACUACGUGCCAGCAGCCGCGGUAAUACGUAGGGCGCAAGCGUUGUCCGGAAUUAUUGGGCGUAAAGAGCUCGUAGGCGGCUUGUCACGUCGGAUGUGAAAGCCCGGGGCUUAACCCCGGGUCUGCAUUCGAUACGGGCUAGCUAGAGUGUGGUAGGGGAGAUCGGAAUUCCUGGUGUAGCGGUGAAAUGCGCAGAUAUCAGGAGGAACACCGGUGGCGAAGGCGGAUCUCUGGGCCAUUACUGACGCUGAGGAGCGAAAGCGUGGGGAGCGAACAGGAUUAGAUACCCUGGUAGUCCACGCCGUAAACGUUGGGAACUAGGUGUUGGCGACAUUCCACGU